rnacentral:rRNA from 1 species
GACGAACGCUGGCGGCGUGCUUAACACAUGCAAGUCGAACGGAAAGGCCCUGCUUUUGUGGGGUGCUCGAGUGGCGAACGGGUGAGUAACACGUGAGUAACCUGCCCUUUACUUUGGGAUAACUUCAGGAAACUGGGGCUACUACCGGAUAGGAGCUCCUGCUGCAUGGUGGGGGUUGGAAAGUUUCGGCGGUUGGGGAUGGACUCGCGGCUUAUCAGCUUGUUGGUGGGGUAGUGGCUUACCACGGCUUUGACGGGUAGCCGGCCUGAGAGGGUGACCGGCCACAUUGGGACUGAGAUACGGCCCAGACUCCUACGGGAGGCAGCAGUGGGGAAUAUUGCACAAUGGGCGGAAGCCUGAUGCAGCAACGCCGCGUGCGGGAUGACGGCCUUCGGGUUGUAAACCGCUUUCGCCUGUGACGAAGCGUGAGUGACGGUAAUGGGUAAAGAAGCACCGGCUAACUACGUG